rnacentral:rRNA from 1 species
UGAACGCUGGCGGUAGGCCUAACACAUGCAAGUCGAACGGCAGCACAGUAGAGCUUGCUCUUACGGGUGGCGAGUGGCGGACGGGUGAGGAAUACAUCGGAAUCUACUUUUUCGUGGGGGAUAACGUAGGGAAACUUACGCUAAUACCGCAUACGACCUACGGGUGAAAGCAGGGGAUCUUCGGACCUUGCGCGAUUGAAUGAGCCGAUGUCGGAUUAGCUAGUUGGCGGGGUAAAGGCCCACCAAGGCGACGAUCCGUAGCUGGUCUGAGAGGAUGAUCAGCCACACUGGAACUGAGACACGGUCCAGACUCCUACGGGAGGCAGCAGUGGGGAAUAUUGGACAAAGGGCGCAAGCCUGAUCCAGCCAUACCGCGUGGGUGAAGAAGGCCUUCGGGUUGUAAAGCCCUUUUGUUGGGAAAGAAAAGCAGCAGGUUAAUACCCCGCUGUUCUGACGGUACCCAAAGAAUAAGCACCGGCUAACUUCGUG